CGCCUGCUCAAAUUGGCUGAAGGUGGCAGCACUGAGGCCCAUGUGGGUCCUGGAUCCUACCAGGUACCUUUCCUGAAGCAGCAGGCGACAGGGAGUACCAGGGCCUGGAAAAUAUGACAUUAAAAGUCAAUUUCAGAAGACAGAAAGUAUGACACCAAAUGCAAAUGAUGCAUCCCCUGCUUUUCUUUCUCAAUCCCAGAGAUUUUUACCUGUGAAAUCAAUCACCCCGGCUCCUGGCACAUAUAAUGAACCUCGAACUGCUCUCAAGUCCUUGAAGAAAACAUCAGGACUGAAAAAUAUUCCAUUUGGUCAAAGUGCUGUUCGAUUCACACAGGACAUCAGGACAGAGGAAAUGCCAGGUCCUGGGUUUUAUAAUAUCUUGAACAAUACUAUAAUUGCCAGUGUUAGAAAUAUCUGCUCAAAGAAACAGAAGAAAAGUGCAUUUGGUUCUUCUGCUCCUCGGACUUUCUUCUUGGUUCAGAAAGAAGCUUCUGCUACCCCUGGGCCUGCUGAUUAUCAGGCAUGUUGGCAUUCACAGGGUGGUGGAAUUUCUGAUGAAUUACCUAACCUGACUAACAAAUAUGCUGCUUUCUUGUCAAGAGCCAAAAGAACUAUGAAAGUAUCAGAUAUGGUCCUGCAGCAUACAAUCCUGUUUUAAGGAAAUCUUGCCCCAUACCCUUAUUUGUGAAAGCAUCAAAGCGCUUUGAAGAGUCCAAAGAGAUUACUCCAGGCCCAGCAACAUAUGAGCUCAGUCCAUUUUUAAGGCAUACUGUUCUGAAGAGAACAUUUAAUGUAACUCUGCCAAAUUCUUUCUUCAUUGAUAGAGAAAACACUUCUACUCUAGAACAAAAAGCCAAACAAAAACACCAAGGAGGCAAAAUAGAAUCUUCUAAAUGAUAUAUCCAAAGGUAAUAUCUAUUAAUAUAAAGGUAAGCUGAUACUUCUCUCACAAAGGAGUACUUCCAUGUUGAUGAUGUCCUCCAUCAGCUGCUCACAGGAACAUAAUUGCUCUUCUAACAUCUAGAGAUAGAAAAAUCUGUUCUUACAUGAUAUUUGUUUUUUUUUCAGAAAAAUUUUCCUAUUACAAAAGCAGUAUAUAUAUUCAUUGCAUUCUUUCUAAGCAUAUACUACUGAUGCAUCCAUAUAAAAUAUAAUGCUGAAUAAAGACAUCUGAUGAAAAGCCUUUCUUUUUUACUUUAGAGUCUCAUUCUCUAACCAGAGAAUGCAAUUACUUUCCAAAUACCAGGCAUGCUGAAACAAAGUGAACGAUGUCGUUAUGCAUAUGUGGUAUUCCCUUGACUUAUUUUCUUACUCUUCAUUUCUCUGAAAUGCUAAAAGUAGAAUAUAAAAAUCAUAAAAGGAAUAUUCAGUAUGUUUUACUUUGUAUAACUUUUAUGUGCAAAUAGGAAAGCAAAGAAAAAUAUGAUUAAACUGUGGCAAUAUACUGAAUUAUCUUCAAUAGCCUACAUAUUUGGGGAAGAUGGGUAAAUUUAAAUAUCACAUCCCAAAACUUUUGGUAUUAAUGCUAUUACAUUAAUAACAAUGUUAGUAAAUGUUAGUAAAUGCCAUUUACUAACAUGUCAUCUACUAACAUGGUCUAGUAAAACAAAUUAGUUGGAGAUAAGGAUUUAUCAAUAGUAUUUAAUGUUUCUAGAGGAGCAUAUCCUCUUUGAAAUUUUAAUAAACACUAUGGAAACCUCAUUGAUGAAAGUGGAUUUAUGCAAGCAAUCUAAAAUUAACAUAAUUCUAAAAGAUUCAAGCGCUCCUGAAAUUUUCAAUGUAUUCUAAUUUAAGAAAACUGUAUCUAAAAUAUCUCCAUUAAUGUGCCUAAAAUCAAUCAUUCAAGAUUGGAACAAUAAACCCCACCCCCCAAAUGGCCAAUAAAUACUUGCUCUUCCAUUGAAUUGGAUGAAUUGAAUUGGGAAAACAGCACAGAACUGGUGGUUGAUGGAGAGGAGACUUUGAGCUCAUCUCCUAGUUACAUAACCCUAAACUAACUAGUUAGUCACCUAGUUCUUUGUUCUGUAGCUCCAAAAUGAAGCAGUUGGUAUAUUAGACCAGUAGAUGUCAAACAUAGAGGAUGUUUCACAAUUACCAAGUGAGGUGGUAGAAUAACACAAGUUUUCCAACAUCUAACAACUCUCCACUUAGUAUUGCCUGUACUCUGAAAUGGGUCCUGAAGCCUGUAUUUUUCUAUAGGUAUUUAUGUGAUGUAGUUAAGCUCUAGGUACAUGAUCCCCAAGGUUUCUAUCAUCCCUAUAGUAUUUCUUUUGGAAAUUACCUUUUUAUAUGUCAUAUAAACCAUGUAAAAUAUAGUUCUUGUUGCAGAAAACUCAGACAACCAAGAGUAUUUGACGUGCAUUACAUGUGUUGCAACACCCUUGCAUGUAUUCUUUAAAAACAAACAAACAAACAAAAAACCGUAUGGAAUGAUUUUUACUUUCUUAUUUUUAAUUCUUUUCCUCUAUAAUAUAUUACUUAAUAUGCAAAACUUGUUCAUGAAUAAAGAAUAGAAAAAUGAAAAUUUAGAACGUGGGAGAGAAUUGCCAGUCAACUUUUAAGACAAUGUUUUAAUUAUUCAGUAGAAUAAUUCUUAUGUCUAUAAUCUUCUUACAUAUUAACAUUUUCUAAACUAGAACUAGUAAAAAUACAUAAAUUAUCAUACUUCUGUUAUAACAAAAUAAUAUAAACUUCUUGUCACCUAAAAACAAACCUGGGAAUUCAAUAUGUGAACAUUGCAUGGGAAGCAUAAUUAUUUUGAAAUUUUUGGGAGGGUAAAUAAUCUUGUUUUUAAAAUGAUAGCCUUUCUGUAAUAUUAAAUUAAUAAUUUUGAGAGAACUACAGAAGAGAUAAGCAGAAAAAAUGCAAUAGUAAAAUAGAAAAGGCAUUAUAUUUAUGUGUAUAUAUAUAUACACACACAUAUUUAUCUCUUUGGAAAGAUGAGUAAAAAUAUAAAUAAAAUCAAACAACAUGAAAGACUAUGAAAACAUUAUAUAUUAUUAAAAAUAUGAAUAAGAUAGGGGGUCUUAGACUAUUACUCUUUCUCUGGAACAAACUUACCACAAGAAGCAAGAAAUUGUUGGAAGAAAUCUGCCUGGAGUCAGUAAAGCUUUCAAAAGACAUUUCCUGUGUGAAAAAAGAGCAAACAAUUCUGAAGUUGGAACAUGUUGAGGCAAAGAAAACUCAGCUAAUUGAACUAAAAGUGACAUUAUUGAUAACAGGGAAAUUUAACAAUUUAUAAAAUACAGUUGAUGAUGUAGCAGUUCAGCUUUAAUAACACAGAAUUCACAGGGAAACAAGUAAUAAAAAUAAUGAUUAAGUUGGGAUGGUUAGGAGAUCCCAAGUAUGCCCAUUUUGCAUUCUUAAUCAUGUCCGUGUAGACUAGUCACUGGCAAUUAACUUUUGUAAAACUGGAAGAUUUCCCCUUUUUCAAAGGCUUGGAACCAGAGAUCCCAAGGGAGAUAAUGAUUUAACCAUUCUCUGAGAAUGUAUUCUGCAGAACACAGUGAUUGCUUCAAAUUAGAAAGGUUGAAAGGGAUGGCUAAUUUCCAUAACUUUGACAAAAAUGUUUGUAAAAAUACUGAACAGCUGCCUUCUUCAGCUCAAAAUUCAACACAACUAAAAUAGUAUUGUACUGAUCCAUUAAUAUAUUUUAUUCCCAGGAUGUUAGUCUGUUUUGCAUAGUUAUAAAAGACUAUCUGGACUGGAUAAUUUAUAAAGAAAAGAGGUUUAUUUGACUCAUGGUUCUGCAGGCUGUUUAAGAAGUGUUGUGCUACCACCACCUUCUGGUGAGUCCUCAGGAAGCUUACAAUCAUGGCAGAAGGCAAAGGGGUAGCCAACAAGAGAGGGAGCAAGAGAGAGAGGCAGGAGGUGCCAUACUUUUUAAAUAACCAGAUCUCCUGUGAACUCUUUACUAAGGGGAAGGCAUCAAGCUAUCCACAAGGCAUCCACCCUCAUAACCCAACACCUCUCUCUUAGCCCCACCUCCAACAUUGGGGGUCACGUUUUAACAUGAGAUUUGGAGGGAACAAAUAUCCAAAUGGUAUCACCCAGUUUUUUCAAUUAUGUCCAGGUAGUCACUUUCUUUUUUAUAACUAUAAUAAAAUGACCAGUUGGGUUACUUAAUGUGCAAGUAGUUACACAAAUGAAAUUUGUGUGUUCUUUGUUUUCAAAGGGAAAGUUAUAGCAGUUUGAUUAUAUAGUAAAGUUGUAUGACUAUGGAAAGUUUUGGUAUCUCCCCAUUGAGCAGACUUGCUUUUGUUAACCAAACCAGUUUGCCUUUUCACCUGACAGUUAUUUGCAAAAUAUGAUUGAGUUAUGGCCAGUAAAAUAUGAGCAGAAGUGACAUAUGCCAGUUCCAACUUUAGCCUAUAAGCAGCUUCCAACAGUUCAUUCUCUUUUUACUCUGUCUUCCAACUGAAUAAGUACACUAAUGAAGCACUAAUGGAAGGAGGAUGGGUCAUGAAUGACCAUUUGGAUAACAUCCUGGACUUUACAAGAAUAAGAAAUAAACUUAAGUCACUAAGAUUUGAGAAAUUUAUUUGUUGUAGCAUGACCUUCACUAAGGUGCUCUAGACACUCCCAUACAUGCAUAACAAAAUGAGUCUCUCCACAGGUAGGACAUAAAAGCUCAGAUGGUGCCUGUACCUUAAGGAAUCAGACAUGAUAAACCAAGGGGCUAUAUUCAGGGAGAACAGAAACAAGUUAGUCAUCCCUUAGAGCCCUCUCCCUCAGAGCAAGGUGUUGGAUUGGAAAAUAUCUGUUUCAAAGUGCAUUACAUAUGUUUCAAUGCCCUUGCAUCUAUUCCUUAGAAAAAUGAUUUAGUACCCAAAGUGUACAGGCCGUACAUCUUCUGUCAUUUUCAUGAUUGAAAUUAGCUGUCUGAAUGUGUCUCCUCUCAGCUUCCAGAGCCAGUUAACUAAAAACAAGCUCGCAACAUAAUUGUAAAGUAAAGUAUUCAGAAAAUGAAAUUUAAUUUGUUGACCAAAUUGAUCAUUUUGUGGAAUUUUGCUAGUUUCCAAUUAUACCAAGUGCCCUUCAUUUUAAACAGCUGAGUAGGUUGGGUUACUUUCACAUAUAUGAAUGCUGUCAGCCCUCCCAAAAUGAAGCCAUUGAUUAGAAAAUUUCAUGGGGAGGCCUUUGUUUUAGUCCAUUUUUAUGCUGCUGAUAAAGAUAUAUCCAAGACUGGGCA